UCCCGUGUGGCUCAGUUGGUAGAGCAUUGUGUUUGCAACUCCAGGGUUAUGGGUUUGAUUCCCACAGGGGAC
rnacentral:tRNA from 1 species